GUCCAACUGGUGUCGGUAAUGCACCAUUAACAUUGGAUGCCAAUCGCGGUUAAACCCCAUCGAAGAAGAAGAAGAAGAAGAAGAAGCAGAGGCAGUAGCAAAUGUCUUUUCGUCACAAGUCUAGACGAACUGACGCUGACCAUAACGGAGAUGAAAAUAGGAAUAGGGGCCCUUUGAAGCGGUAUAACUACCGGAAACGUGUAGCUGAUGGCAGUAUGAGAUCAAAUGAGGACAUGGACUCCACCAGUGAUCUGAAGAAGAGUAAUGUCAACCACAGACACACUGAUAUCAGACGUGUUAGUUGUACCACUCCUGAAAGUAAAGGUCCAGUUCCCAGAUGCAUGGACUGGGAGCGUGAAGUGGAGACUAAAUGUGCUCAAGCGUCUGUUGUGACAUGCAACGUUACAGGAGGAGGACACUGGCAACAGAGUUUGGUCCAAGGGAACGGAAGAAUUCUUCAGGGAGCUCAGAUUCCAGAGACUCUCCAGUCCCUGGUGAGGUCAUGGAGGAGGAUGAGGAAGUCCUGAUGAGGAGGCAGAAACAGAUCACAUAUGGGAAGAACACACUCGCCUACGACAGAUACAUAAAGGAAGUACCCAAGCACUUGAGGCAGCCAGGAGUUCAUCCUAAAACUCCUAACAAGUUUAAGAAAUACAGCCGGCGCUCAUGGGACCAGCAGAUUAAAUUGUGGAAGGUGAAGAUUCACGCGUGGGACCCCCCAGCCCAGGAGGGCAGUGAGCUGCAGGCCAUAUAUGAGGUUGACUUGGAUGAUGUAAUGGAUAUUGAGCUAGACUUCCCUGAGCUGGAUUCCGACUCAAGCACACAGCCUCCUAAAGUCAGCAAGGCCUCUUCGUCUCAAGCAGACUCUUGCCAAGUAACUCCCAAGAUGAUGAAAAUGGAUACAUCAGUUGACCUUGAAAUGGCCUAAAAGUCCUUGGUGGUUGAGAGGAUAAUGUGGAAAGGCCUGGGGUACUGAUUUCCCCCAACACCAUGUUUGAAAUGGAUGCAUCCACCAGUGAUCACCUCCUUUUGGUGGAAUGCAGUUUCUGGAUUGCCUCAGACCCAUUCUCAGCUGUCUUUUGAAUACCAGGACAAAUUGAUGAUAGAUUGAAUUCAAGUCAGUGACCUGAAUUGUGUAUCAAUUUGUUUUUAAAUUGUGUUGUGAAUGCUUGCAUUGUAUUUUAUAGUUGAUUGCCUUGUAUGCUUGUAUCUUUAUUGUGAGUAGUUGUGUUUGUGUUUUUGUUCAAUUAUAUAUUUUUUACAUAUAAACUUUGAAUACAAUGUUGUACUGUAUUUUCUUAGGCUUUCAAAAAACAUGUGGACACUGGGAUUUUUAUCAGCAGGUAAAACAUAAUAAUAAUGGGCCAUAAUGCCUCAAGCUUUUAUUUUUCUGGAUAUGCUUUUUCUGCUUCCUAACUGGCUUGUAGCUAAGACAUGCAGAGGAUGUUAUUAGUUUUUAUACUACAUUUGUGUUGCUGUAUUUUUAUUUAUUUUUAAAUUAGAUUUGGUUUAUAUAAUUGGUAGCUAGGAUUGAUUUGAUUAAAGGUUUGGGAGUGAAGUGUAGGCCAGGAGCAUGGAUGAGCAUAGGAUCACUGUGGAUGAGUGCCAUAAUUCUACGCUUUAUUAAGCAUAAAAAGAGACGCCCUAUUUUGUUCUGUUUGAAUCGCAUGCUGGAUAGCUAGCUACUACAGUGAGGGGAAAAAUAUUUGAUCCCCUGCUGAUUUUGUAUGUUUGCCCACUGACAAAAAAAUGAUUAGUCUAUAAUUUUGAUGGUUGGUUUAUUUGAACAGUGAGAGACAGAACAACAAAAAUCCAGAAAAACGCAUGUCAGAAAUGUUAAAAAUUGAUUUGCAUUUUAAUGAGGGAAAUAAGUAUUUGACCCCUCUGCAAAACAUGCCUUAGGACUUGGUGGCAAAACCCUUGUUGGCAAUCAGGUCAGGCGUUUCUUGUAGUUGGCCACCAGCUUUGCACACAUCUCAGGAGGGAUUUUGUCCCACUCCUCUUUGCAGAUCUUCUCCAAGUCAUUAAGGUUUCGAGGCUGACGCAUGGCAACUCAAACCUUCAGCUUUUCUAUGGGAUUAAGGUCUGGAGACUGGCUAGUCCACUCCAGGACCUUAAUGUACUUCUUCUUGAGCUACUCCUUUGUUGCCUUGGCUGUGUGUUUUGGGUCAUUGUCAUGCUGGAAUAUUCAUCCACGACCCAUUUUCAAUGCCCUGGCUGAGGGAAGGAGGUUCUCACCCUUAAUUUGACGGUACAUCGUCCCUUUGAUGCGGUGAAGCUGUCCUGUCCCCUUAGCAGAAAAACACCCCCAAAGCAUAAUGUUUCUACCUCCAUGUUUGACGGUGUUCUUGGGGGUCAUAGGCAGCAUUCCUCCUCCAAACACGGCGAGUUGAGUUGAUGCCAAAGAGCUCCAAUUUGGUGUCAUCUGACCACAACACUUUCACCCAGUUGUCCUCUGAAUCAUUCAGCUGUUCUUUGGCACACUUCAGACGGGCAUGUAUAUGUGCUUUCUUGAGCAGGGGGACCUUGCGGGUGCUGUAGGAUUUCAGUCCUUCACAGCGUAGUGUGUUACCAAUUGUUUUCUUGGUGACUAUGGCCCCAGCUGCCUUGAGAUCAUUGACAAGAUCAUCCCGUGUAGUUCUGGGCUGAUUCCUCACCGUUCUCAUGACCAUUGCAACUCCACGAUGUGAGAUCUUGCAUGGAGCCCCAGGCUGAGGGAGAUUGACCGUUUUGUGUUUCUUCCAUUUGCGAAUAAUCACACCAUUGUCACCUUCUCACUAAACUGCUUGGCGAUGGUCUUGUAGCCCAUUCCAGCUGUGUGUAGGUCUACAAUCUUGUCCCUGACAUCCUUGGAGAGCUCUAAUUAAAAUGCAAAUCAAUUUAUAACAUUUUUGACAUGCGUUUCUCUUUUUUUUUUUGUUAUCCUGUCUCACUGUUCAAAUUAACCUACCAUUAAAAUUAUAGACUGAUCAUUUCUUUGUCAGUGGGCAAAUGUACAAAAACAGCAGGGUAUCAAAUACUUUUUCCCCCUCACUGUAUGCUAUUAAUGAACGGUCAGUGCUAUCUGGGUAGGGAUGUCAAACAUUUGUACACCCCUCAUAAAAUGUAAUCAUUAUUCCCACUAUAAAUAACUUUAGCAACCCUG